rnacentral:rRNA from 1 species
AUGUCACUACUCACUACCCUUUUGUCAUUGAGCCACUAUCACAUUUUGGUCAGCAAUCACUUCAAGCAAUUCUCAGCGCCAUUAGUCAGAAGCUUGAAUUUACAUCUGAACGAACAAUACAUCAAGCCACAGAAGAAAGAGUGGUCAUCUCUUUUUCUUGGUACAAAGAUGCCAUACAAGCAUUCAGACUUCUGA